rnacentral:rRNA from 1 species
AGUGAACGCUGGCGGUAGGCCUAACACAUGCAAGUCGAACGGCAGCACAGUAAGAGCUUGCUCUUACGGGUGGCGAGUGGCGGACGGGUGAGGAAUACAUCGGAAUCUACUUUUUCGUGGGGGAUAACGUAGGGAAACUUACGCUAAUACCGCAUACGCCCUACGGGUGAAAGCAGGGGAUCUUCGGACCUUGCGCGAAUGAAUGAGCCGCUGUUGGAUUGGCUGGUUGGCGGGGGAAAGGCCCACCAAGGCGCCGAUCCGUGGCGGGGGUGGGAGGAUGAUCAGCCACACUGGAGCGGGGACGCGGUCCUGACUCCUGCGAGAGGCAGCAGUGGGGAAUAUUGGACAAUGGUCGCAAACCUGAUCCAGCCAGACCGCGUGUGAUGAAGAGGCCUUCGGGUUGUAAAGCCCGUUUGUUGGGAAAGAAAAGCAGCAGCUUAUUACCCCGCGGUUCUGACGGUACCCAAAGAAUAAGCACCGGCUAACUUCGUG